rnacentral:rRNA from 1 species
GACGAACGCUGGCGGCGUGCUUAACACAUGCCAGUCGAACGGAAAGGCCCUGCUUUUGUGGGGUGCUCGAGUGGCGAACGGGUGAGUAACACGUGAGUAACCUGCCCUUGACUUUGGGAUAACUUCAGGAAACUGGGGCUAAUACCGGAUAGGAGCUCCUGCUGCAUUGUGGGGGUUGGAAAGUUUCGGCGGUUGGGGAUGGACUCGCGGCUUAUCAGCUUGUUGGUGGGGUAGUGGCUUACCAAGGCUUUGACGGGUAGCCGGCCUGAGAGGGUGACCGGCCACAUUGGGACUGAGAUACGGCCCAGACUCCUACGGGAGGCAGCAGUGGGGAAUAUUGCACAAUGGGCGGAAGCCUGAUGAAGAAACGCCGCGUGCGGGAUGACGGCCUUCGGGUUGUAAACCGCUUUCGCCUGUGACGAAGCGUGAGUGACGGUAAUGGGUAAAGAAGCACCGGCUAACUACGUG